rnacentral:rRNA from 1 species
GGAGGGUGCAAGCGUUAAUCGGAAUUACUGGGCGUAAAGCGCGCGUAGGCGGUUUUGUAAGUCGGAUGUGAAAGCCCGGGCUUAACCUGGGAAUUGCAUUCGAUACUGCGUGACUAGAGUAUGGUAGAGGGAAGCGGAAUUCCGGGUGUAGCGGUGAAAUGCGUAGAUAUCCGGAGGAACACCAGUGGCGAAGGCGGCUUCCUGGACCAAUACUGACGCUGAGGCGCGAAAGCGUGGGGAGCAAACAGGAUUAGAUACCCUGGUAGUCCACGCCCUAAACUAUGUCAACUAGCCGUUGGGAUCAUUGAAGGUCUUAGUGGCGCAGCUAACGCGAUAAGUUGACCGCCUGGGGAGUACGGCCGCAAGGUUA